rnacentral:rRNA from 1 species
AACGAACGCUGGCGGCAUGCCUAACACAUGCAAGUCGAACGAGACCUUCGGGUCUAGUGGCGCACGGGUGCGUAACGCGUGGGAACCUGCCCUUAGGUUCGGAAUAACUCCCCGAAAGGGGUGCUAAUACCGGAUAAUGUCUUCGGACCAAAGAUUUAUCGCCUUUGGAUGGGCCCGCGUUGGAUUAGCUGGUUGGUAGGGUAAAAGCCUACCAAGGCGACGAUCCAUAGCUGGUCUGAGAGGAUGAUCAGCCACACUGGGAGUGAGACACGGCCCAGACUCCUACGGGAGGGAGGAGUGGGGAAUAUUGGACAAUGGGCGAAAGGCUGAACCAGCAAUGCCGGGUGAGUGAUGAAGGCCUUAGGGUUGUAAAGCUCUUUUACCCGGGAUGAUAAUGACAGUACCGGGAGAAUAAGCUCCGGCUAACUCCGUG